rnacentral:lncRNA from 1 species
UUCCUGAAUGAGGCAGGCUCCUCCCUGGAAAGAUCAGCUGAGGCCUUAAGUAAUAACACUGCCUUCCCCACCCCUGACAUCUCUCUCUCUCUCUCUCUCUCUCUCUUUCUCUCUCUCUCACUAAUAAAAACACACACACACACACACACACACACACACACACGGCUCCCCACCUCAAGCACCCCCUGGGGGUGGCAGCUUUGGCCUUUCUUCACAUCCAACCUCCUGGUGGGAACUGUGGAUGUGGAUUUUGUCAACAACACACUCAAAUCUUGAAAAGCUAAGUGAGAGGGGUGUGGAGGGGUAUGGAGAGAGAGUAGAGAGGGGGAAGCGGGAAGUCAGUGAGGCAGGGAAGAGAGGAGCAGAAGACAGGAUCCUGGCCAGGUAAAGAAGAAACACUUGCAAAAUGUUCCUGCUGCUGCUGGUGAUGGGGACGGCUGUGAGCAGAUGCUUACAUGAUGAGACGCAGAAGUCUGUGACACUUCUCAGGCCCCAUCUCUCCCAACCUGCACCCAGCUUCCGCUUUUCCACCCUCGCCCUGUCUGGCUUCCGUGAGCCUCAGCCCCUACGAAUUCGAACCUACUCUAUCAGAGACCCUGUAUCAGAUGGAGCCUGGGAGCCGGAGGGAGCCAGAAUGAGAGGAGGACCACAAGCCCUGGCCCUGGCCGCAGCCAGACAGGCUGCUCAGCAACUCCAGGGGAUGCUCACAGGUGAGUGGGGAGGCAACAGGGAGGGCUGAGGAGCAGAGGGUAAGGGAGGAAGAUGACUAGAGGAAAGGAACUCUAAGAUGUUGAGGUGAAAUUGUCGACUCUUUUUAAGUCCCUCCAGUGCAAGGCCCUCUGCUUCUGAGUCGAGACCCCGCACAGUACUGCCACGCUGUUUGGGGGGACCCAGAUGCCCCAAACUACCACAGGUGAGUUCGUGGUGUCAAGAAUGUAUAUACGACCUCUUCAGGGUACCCAAAGAUGGCUCCAGCUCACCUACAGAUACUCACGCUUGGCAGGUGCAGCCUCUUGAACCCAGGGUACCAAGGAGAGAGUUGCCUGGGGGCAAAGAUCCCAGAUGCCCAUCUCCGUGGUUACGCAUUGUGGCCCGAGCACGGUCCCCCACAACUGGUCCAGCCAGAUGGACCCGGGGUCCAAGACACGGAUUUUCUCCUGUAUGUGUGGGUGGCCCACACUUCCAAGUGCCGUGGAGAGGUGAGACUCAAAUCAAAUCCUUUUACUUGUUCUGCCUCUCUUAAUUUUAAAUAUCAUGGGAAGGGGGAGAGAGCACAAAGGCAGCUUUUAUUAACUUGUGAUUAUUGGAGGUG